GGGGGCGAAAUGGUUUCGACGGGGAUUAGGAAGCCGUGGCUGCAUACCGAGCCCUCCGCCAACUCGUAAAAAGGGUGGAAAAUAAACAUAAUCGCAGACGAUUAUAACUACGCUAUGGCCGCUUAAGGCCAUCGUCCUACCUGGUAUCUCCCACAUACCGGGAUAGGGCGUCGACUAGUGGGAUAGCAUGGCUUGCCCGCCUGUUGCAAUGUCAUGUGAAACUUUAACAGGCUAGCCUGCCAGCCGCCCCGGCCUGAAUGGGCUCUGCCAGGCGAAAUACAAUAUUCGGGACAAGUAUGUAGACGCCACCGCGGAAUAUUUCCGGACGCGGGUUCGACUCCCGCCGCCUCCACCA
rfam:Desulfatibacillum alkenivorans AK-01, complete genome.